rnacentral:rRNA from 1 species
GACGAACGCUGGCGGCGUGCUUAACACAUGCAAGUCGAGCGAGAACCUCGGAAGGGGUAACCCUCCCGAGGGGAGAGCGGCGAACGGGUGAGUAACACGUGGGCAACCUGCCCCGGACACCGGGAUAACCCAGGGAAACCUGAGCUAAUACCGGAUACUCCGGCGUGAUCACAUGGUCGUGCCGGGAAAGCUCCGACGGUCCGGGAUGGGCCCGCGGCCUAUCAGCUUGUUGGUGGGGUAACGGCCUACCAAGGCGGCGACGGGUAGCUGGUCUGAGAGGACGGCCAGCCACACUGGGACUGAGAUACGGCCCAGACUCCUACGGGAGGCAGCAGUCGAGAGGCUUCGGCAAUGGGGGAAACCCUGACCGAGCGACGCCGCGUGGAGGAAGAAGGCC